AGAAAGAAAGAAAAGAAAAAGAAUGGCCACCGUCUCAACACAAGCUUCUGCUGCCGUUUUCCGGCCAUGUGCUUAUAAGUCGAGGUUUCUCGCUGGGGCUCCAAGUAAACUGAACAGAGAAUUGUCCAUCAAACCAAUGGCAUCGUCAUCUCCUAGUUUCAAGGUUGAAGCCAAGAAAGGAGAGUGGUUACCUGGUUUGCCUUCUCCAUCUUAUCUAAAUGGCAGGUGAAAAAGAAAACAUGUUUUAUAGCUUUUCUCUUAGCUAAUGCUCUCAAUUAGCAUUGACUGAAACCUUGUCUUGUAUAACUCAGCCUUCCAGGUGAUAAUGGGUUUGACCCCCUCGGGCUUGCUGAGGACCCUGAGAACUUGAGAUGGUUCGUUCAGGCUGAGCUUGUGAAUGGUCGGUGGGCCAUGUUGGGCGUUGCAGGAAUGCUACUGCCAGAAGUUUUCACAAAGAUUGGAAUCAUCAAUGCUCCUCAGUGGUAUGAUGCUGGCAAAGCAGAAUACUUUGCGUCUUCAUCAACCCUCUUUGUGAUCGAGUUCAUACUGUUCCAUUACGUCGAGAUAAGAAGGUGGCAAGAUAUUAAGAACCCAGGAUGCGUUAACCAAGAUCCCAUCUUCAAACAAUACAGCUUGCCUCCAAAUGAAUGCGGGUACCCCGGCGGCAUCUUCAACCCCCUCAACUUUGCACCCACAAUUGAGGCCAAAGAGAAAGAGCUUGCCAAUGGUGAUUAUCCAAAACCUGGUUAAUUGAGCUUUUACUUGUUUUUGGCUAAGCUAAUGUUGUCUGAUUUAUGCGACAGGGAGAUUGGCAAUGUUGGCAUUCUUAGGAUUUGUGAUUCAGCACAAUGUGACCGGCAAAGGACCGUUCGAGAACCUCUUGCAGCACAUCUCAGACCCGUGGCACAACACCAUCGUCCAAACAUUUAGCGGUAACUAAAUUCAUCGGAGAUGAAUUGGAGUCAUCUUGUCUGUUUCUUUACAUGGAUGAAUGAAAUUUAUGUAUCGAUGUAAACAAGUAAACUUCAAUGUACAGGGGAACAAGUGGCAUUAUGAUUCACAUAGAUUGAUCUUUAUUUUAUUUUUUGUUAUAUAUAUAUGUGUGUGUGUGUGUGUGAAAAUGCUAAUUUAUGAUGUAUUUUUAAUAAAAAUGUGUGUGUUAAAGUUAAUAUAAGAUGACUUUUAAAUUGAAGAUGAUUGUUUUAUAUAUCAAAACAUUAAUCAUCAAUUGUCAUGAAUUAUGUUUCUUUCACUACCUAAUACCUCACUUAAUAUUAUCAAACCCAUUUUUGUUUUUUCUUUAUUCUAUAAAGCUCCUCAAAGAUUCUAAGAACAUGAGAUGAAGCAUAAUUAGUCCUUUUUAAUUAUUUCUAGAUAUGAUUUAUUGUAAA
rnacentral:lncRNA from 1 species